UACGUAGGGUGCAAGCGUUAAUCGGAAUUACUGGGCGUAAAGCGUGCGCAGGCGGCUUUGCAAGACAGAUGUGAAAUCCCCGGGCUUAACCUGGGAACUGCAUUUGUGACUGCAUGGCUGGAGUGCGGCAGAGGGGGAUGGAAUUCCGCGUGUAGCAGUGAAAUGCGUAGAUAUGCGGAGGAACACCGAUGGCGAAGGCAAUCCCCUGGGCCUGCACUGACGCUCAUGCACGAAAGCGUGGGGAG
rnacentral:rRNA from 1 species